GACGAACCGUGCGAACGUUAUUCGGAAUCAUUGGGCUUAAAGAGCGCGUAGGCGGCGGCGUAAGGGAGGGGUGAAAUCCCAACGGCUCAACCGUGGAAUAGCCUUUCCGACUGCGUCGCUUGAGGAAGGUAGGGGCAAGUGGAACUUCCAGUGGAGCGGUGAAAUGUGUUGAGAUUGGAAGGAACGCCAGUGGCGAAAGCGACUUGCUGGAUCUUUCUGACGCUGAGGCGCGAAAGCUAGGGUAGCAAACGGGG
rnacentral:rRNA from 1 species